ensembl:lncRNA
GGUCUGAGUGGAGUGUCUGGGCUCAAAGGGUACAGAGGAGAGCCGGGACCUUACGGGCCUGCGGUACGAUGGCCAGUCAUUUAAUGAUUUUGAUGAUGACACAGCUGUACCAUGUGGUAACACAUGCAAACUACAAUACAUGUUUUGACCAGGGUCUCUCCCCCCAGGAGCACCAGGAGAUGCAGGGCCCAUUGGGAAAAGGGUGAGUGUAUUGAAGAGCUUAUCUGAUUUAUCAUGAGGCUAAUAUUCUGAAUACACAAUAUUAUCUUGAUUCUCUCUUCAGGGUGAUGCUGGAACACAGGGAGAAGGCCAACCUGGAUAUCCAGGGUUCCAGUUGGCCACGUGUCACCACUGCAGCAUAUCUUCCAGACAUGGCCUUGUCUACAGGGAGUCCAUGGCAGCUCUAUCCAGGAACGUCAUGGCUCCCAGUUACACCAGGAGGCAUAGUUCACAGGCUAGAACCCUGCCACUGCGAGCUAGGGGAAGACUCAUCACCCAAAGGCCUGUCGGAGAGGCCAAGAAUCGGCCUAGAGCUCCAAGGUAAACAUCUUACUCUAUUACCUAGUAAUAUACAGAUGUUUGGAGUUAAUGGCACAUAUUUUGAAUUGUUGAAUGUAAUAGAACUCAUUUACAGUGUAUCUUUAAUAUCACCAUUUUUUGUCCGCCAUUAAAAUGGCAUCAAACCUUUAAACUCUCUCUUCACAGGCCCAAUCCUCCAGAGUUCAUUGCCAUAUCUUCCUCCAAGCUGGCCGGUGUGAAACAUUUUGUAUUUGUCCACCUAAGGAAGCUUUUUUCAUUGGGGGACACCCAGAGGCGCAGAAAGAGUGGCCUGAAACUUUUCUCCUGAAGUUUUGCAAAUAUAAUUUGAUGGUAAACAUCAAUGGGCUUGAUGAUCCACAAGGUGGCGCUCCAGUAAUUCAGUAGGAAGAAUCAGUGAUAGAGGAGUCAGCAGGAAGAUGCUCACUUGUCAAGGCUAAGACAUGCAGGUACUCAGACCUCCCUCACCUGAGAGAUUGAAAGAAUGGUGACUGCAGGCCUAUACCUUUGGCAGGAGUCUCUAUGGCGACCAGUAGCCAUGUGGGUGAGAUGGUUCUGGGUGGAAUGCAAGGCAAUAUUUUUGCAACACUUUUGAGCUUUCUACAUAUUUAUUGUUCUGAGGUAUGAUGUAAAAAAAAUCUGACAUACUAUUUCAUUUAGUCACAUGGUACAACACUUGUAUCAGUAUCAACUUUUAAUGUGAUUAGGUUUUUGAAAUAUAAUUGAAAGUCUGUAGAGUCAUAUGAUAUUGUUGCCUCCAGCUCAGGCCAAGAAGGAGCCAUUGCAUAUCCUGUUUAACAGUAAAUUGUAUUGGAUCAAGUGUGAGCUUAAUGACUGUAUUAUUAUUGUUGUCAAAUGUUUAAUGCAAUGUUAUAAACAUGUACAGCAGUAUAAUAUACUUGCUUGUUUAGAAAUAAUAUACAGAAACUAAUCUAAUAAAAGGCUUAAAUGCUAUUUGGGUAAAAAUACGUU